rnacentral:rRNA from 1 species
GGGAAAGGCGAAAAGAACCCCGGCGAGGGGAGUGAAAAAGAACCUGAAACCGUGUACGUACAAGCAGUGGGAGCCCCACCACUAAGCCAGUGGUGGACUCCACAUACGCAUCCUUUGCUGAGGAUACGGUUAACGGAGCGAAAGCGACGUUCAACCUCAAAAGAAGCAGAGGGGGCUUAGUGGUGGGGUGACUGCGUACCUUUUGUAUAAUGGGUCAGCGACUUAUAUUCUGUAGCAAGGUUAACCGAAUAGGGGAGCCGGAGGGAAACCGAGUCU